UACGUAGGCACCAAGCGUUAUCCGGAUUUAUUGGGCGUAAAGAGCUCGUAGGCGGUUCGGUAAGUCGGGUGUGAAAACUCUGGGCUCAACCCAGAGAGGCCACCCGAUACUGCUGUGACUAGAGUGCGGUAGGGGAGCGGGGAAUUCCUGGUGUAGCGGUGAAAUGCGCAGAUAUCAGGAGGAACACCGGUGGCGAAGGCGGUUCUCUGGGCAUUACCUGACGCUGAGGAGCGAAAGUGUGGGGAGCGAACAGG
rnacentral:rRNA from 1 species